rnacentral:rRNA from 1 species
AUAUUCGGAUGUACCCGCUGGCCGGCAUUUUUUAACACAUGACCCGUCGAACGCUAUUUAUAGNAGUGGCGCACGGGUNAGUAACGCGUGGGAAACUGCCCUUCUGAGUGGGAUAACGUUUGGAAACGAACGCUAAUACCACAUACGCCCUACGGGGGAAAGGUCCGCCGCAGAAGGAGGUGCCCGCGUCCGAUUAGCUUGUUGGUGAGGUAAUGGCUCACCAAGGCGACGAUCGGUAGNUGGUCUGAGAGGAUGAUCAGCCACACUGGGACUGAGACACGGCCCAGACUCCUACGGGAGGCAGCAGUGGGGAAUAUUGGACAAUGGGGGCAACCCUGAUCCAGCAAUGCCGCGUGUGUGAUGAAGGCCUUAGGGUUGUAAAGCACUUUCACUGGUGAAGAUGAUGACGGUAACCAGAGAAGAAGCCCCGGCUAACUUCGUGCCAGCAGCCGCGGUAAUACGAAGGGGGCGAGCGUUGUUCGGAAUUACUGGGCGUAAAGGGCGCGUAGGCGGUCUUUUAAGUUAGGCGUGAAAUCCCCGGGCUCAACCUGGGAACUGCGCUUAAGACUGGAAGACUAGAAAACGGAAGAGGGUAGUGGAAUUCCCAGUGUAGAGGUGAAAUUCGUAGAUAUUGGGAAGNACACCCAGUGGCGAAAGCNGCUACCUGGUCCNAUUUUNACGCUGAGGCCCCAAAGCCUGGGGAGCNAACAGGAUUANAUNCCCUGUAGUCCACNCCCUAACCAUGUCUGCUNAAUUNGGGGGUUACCCCUCCGUGUCCCC